UACGAAGGGGGCUAGCGUUGCUCGGAAUCACUGGGCGUAAAGGGCGCGUAGGCGGCGUUUUAAGUCGGGGGUGAAAGCCUGUGGCUCAACCACAGAAUGGCCUUCGAUACUGGGACGCUUGAGUAUGGUAGAGGUUGGUGGAACUGCGAGUGUAGAGGUGAAAUUCGUAGAUAUUCGCAAGAACACCGGUGGCGAAGGCGGCUCACUGGACCGGAACUGACGCUGAGGCGCGAAAGCGUGGGGAGCAAACAGG
rnacentral:rRNA from 1 species